rnacentral:rRNA from 1 species
UACGUAGGCAGCGAGCGUUGUUCGGAAUUACUGGGCGUAAAGAGUGUGUAGGCGGUGCUCCCAGUCUGUUGUGAAAUCUCCCGGCUUAACUGGGAGGGUGCAGCGGAAACUAGAGUGCUAGAGGGUGGGAGAGGUAAGCGGAAUUCCUGGUGUAGCGGUGAAAUGCGUAGAUAUCAGGAGGAACACCUGUGGUGUAGACAGCUUACUGGACCACUUCUGACGCUGAGACACGAAAGCGUGGGAGCGAACCGG